GGCGAUAUGGCCGAGCGGUCUAAGGCGCCAGAAUCAGGUCGUGUCCUAUCUGGUCCGAAAGGGCGUGGGUUCGAAUCCCACUGUCGUCA
rnacentral:tRNA from 1 species